UAAAUACUUCAAGAAAGAAGCAACGAUGUUUUUGCUGAAAUAUAAACAAGCCUCUAUUGUCCAAUGUGAGUUCGAACAAUUAAUUUUCAGUAUGGUGCUCUUGGCUUUGCUUAAAUAUCUUAUAACCAUGCAAGAUUUGUCUAUACAAUACUGUCAAAGUUUAAUAUAAGCAAGUUAGAAAGGAAUCAAGAAAGGGAGCACUUCAUCUAGGAGACAAACAAGCUUUGGCUUUUUGCUAGGAAUGUGUAUGAACGUGCGAUGGAGAAGCUGGCGGAUGAAGAAGAUGCAGAGCAGUUAUUCGUUGCAUUCACCGAAUUUGAGGAACGGUGUAAGGAAACGGAACGAGCUCGUAGUAUUUACAAGUUUGCUCUCAAUCAUAUACCUAAAGGUAGUGUAGAGGAUUUUUAUAGAAAGUUUGCGGCUUUUGAGAAGCAAUAUGGAGAAAAGGAAGGGAUUGAGGAUGCCAUUGUGGGGAAGAGGAGGUUUCAGUAUGAGGAUGAAGUCAGGAAGAAUCCAUUGAAUUAUGAUGCUUGGUUUGAUUAUAUAAGGUUGGAAGAGGAUUGUUAUAGAAACUUUUUGUGGCUUUUGAGAAGCAAUAUGGAGAUAAGGAAGGGAUUGAGGAUGCCAUUGUAGGGAAGAAGAGGUUUUAGUAUGAGGAUGAAGUCAGGAAGAAUCCAUUGAAUUAUGAUGCUUGGUUUGAUUAUAUAAGGUUGGAAGAGAGUGUAGGCAAUAAGGGGAGGAUUAGGGAGGUUUAUGAGAGAGCUAUUGCUAAUGUUUCUCUAGCUGAGGAGAAGCGAUAUUGGCAGAGAUAUAUUUACGUAUGGAUUAAUUAUGCUUUAUAUUUGGAGCUUGAUGCUGGGGAUAUGGAGCGAACGAGAGAUGUGUACAGGGAGUGCCUUAAGCUUAUUCCACAUGAGAAGUUUUCUUUUGUAAAGAUCUAGCUUCUUGUUGCACAGUUUGAAAUAAGACAGCUCAAUCUCAAGGGUGCGCGGCAAAUUUUGGGAAAUGCUAUUGGAAAGGCACCUAAAGAUAAGAUCUUUAAGAAGUAUAUUAAAAUUGAGCUGCAACUUGGUAAUAUUGACCGUUGCCGAAAACUGUAUGAGAAGUAUCUGGAGUGGAGCAAAUAUGUCGAGUUAGAAAGAUCAUUAGCUAAAACAGAGCGAGCAAGAGCUAUUUUUGAGCUUGCCAACUUAGACAUUUUUUUCUUAUUGUAAGAAUAUUUUUAACAUUGUAACAUUUAACAUUAUUGUAAGAAUAUUUUGAAUUAUACUUUAGUUAUCAAUUUAUAUCAUAUAUCUUUCGUUGAA